rnacentral:rRNA from 1 species
AGGAUGAACGCUGGCGGCGUGCCUAACACAUGCAAGUCGAACGAAGCAUUAGCCCGAGGAAGCGGAGUGCUUGCACAAAGCGGACUCAAUUUAAAUGACUUAGUGGCGGACGGGUGAGUAACGCGUGGGUAACCUGCCUCACACAGGGGGAUAACAGUUAGAAAUGACUGCUAAUACCGCAUAAGCGCACACUAUCGCAUGAUAGAGUGUGAAAAAACUCCGGUGGUGUGAGAUGGACCCGCGUCUGAUUAGCCAGUUGGCAGGGUAACGGCCUACCAAAGCAACGAUCAGUAGCCGGCCUGAGAGGGUGAACGGCCACAUUGGGACUGAGACACGGCCCAAACUCCUACGGGAGGCAGCAGUGGGGGAUAUUGCACAAUGGGGGAAACCCUGAUGCAGCCGACGCCGCGUGAGUGAUGAAGUAUUUCGGUAUGUAAAGCUCUAUCAGCAGGGAAGAAAAUGACGGUACCUGACUAAGAAGCUCCGGCUAAAUACGUGCCAGCCGCGGC